AGCAGUUAACACUAUGAUUCUACAUCUUAACUUACUGUUUUCCUCUAAGCUUGGGUUUUAACUUCACACAAAAAUGAAAACACCCCAAACAUAAUAUGUACUAAUAAAUAUGAAAUAAAGCAGAAAUAAUAAAAGCAGAAUAAAUAAUCAAAAGUAGAAAAAUAAAAAAAUAAAUCAAACAAAUAAAAUAAAAUAAACA
rnacentral:lncRNA from 1 species